rnacentral:sRNA from 1 species
GGUUUAAUUACCGAGGUUUGAGAUAAUUGAGUGUUUCGGCCCAGAGUUUCGGCUAGUGUGGCUUGAAGUAAAAUUUUGGAAUGUCCUGCAAUUUUGUGGGACAAC